rnacentral:rRNA from 1 species
CAGUCGCCGCGGUAAUACGGAGGGGGCUAGCGUUGUUCGGAAUUACUGGGCGUAAAGGGCGCGUAGGCGGCCAUUCAAGUUAGAUGUGAAAGCCCUGGGCUCAACCUAGGAAUUGCAUUUGAUACUGUUUGGCUUGAGUUCGGGAGAGGUGAGUGGAAUUCCCAGUGUAGAGGUGAAAUUCGUAGAUAUUGGGAAGAACACCAGUGGCGAAGGCGGCUCACUGGACCAACGCUGACGCUGAGGCACGAAAGCUAGGGGAGCAAACAGGAUUAGAUACCCCAGUAGUCCCUGUCUCUUAUAA